rnacentral:rRNA from 1 species
UAGACCGAUAGSGAACAAGUAGAGUGAUCGAAAGAUGAAAAGCACUUUGAAAAGAGAGUUAAACAGCACGUGAAAUUGUUGAAAGGGAAGCGCUUGCGACCAGACUCGCUUCCGGGGUUCAGCCGGCUUUCGGGCCGGUGUACUUCCCCGGGGGCGGGCCAGCGUCGGUUUGGGCGGCCGGUCAAAGGCCCCUGGAAUGUAACGCCUCUCGGGGCGCCUUAUAGCCAGGGGUGUCAUGCGGCCAGCCUGGACCGAGGAACGCGCUUCGGCACGGACGCUGGCAUAAUGGUCGUAAACGACCCGUCUUGAAACACRGACCAAGA